AGAAGGGGAAGGAUGUUAAGAAAUGUGGCCUGUGGGUUACACAGGGUGCCUGCAGCGUUAAUAUAUUUUAGAAAUAAUAUAUCAAAUAACUCCACUAACAACAAUUUUUACUCAGUGAUUAAUUUUGUUUUCUUUUUGAAGAGAAAGCAGGCUUUUCUAGACUUCCAAGAAUAAAGUAUUGGGUGAGGUCCACUGGUAUAGAAAGGAACUUUGAGCCACCCACACAAAAAAUUCACUUGGAGGGAAAUCUUGUCAAGGACACUUAAUGGCAGUUGUGGGUCACCUGUGUCUGUCAACAGAAGGGAUACCGUCCCUGAGGAGGGGCCCUAGGCCCUGGUCACCUGUUUCUCCCACACACCCAUUGCUCAGUUUCACAGGUUUUUAAACUGAUGAUUUUUGGUUUGUUUUGUUUUUGUUUUUUGCAUACUGCUAUAUAGUUCUGUCUCUCUCCUUAUCUCCCUCCUAACCUUCCUCUGUCUUCUUUACCCAAAAUUCUUUUGAGUCCCUUCGUUCUUUUUCUGCUCCCCGUAUCUAUGCACCCCUCCCCUCCCCCCAGGCAAAGCAGUGCUCUGAAUAUCAUACCACACACAAGGAACAAAUGCGAACCACACAGACCAGCCUCAGCUUACACUCGGUUACUCAAGCGAACAAGAGUCGGCGGUACUUGUCCUAGCAUUCGGAAGAGGAAAGCAGGAUCCCAGCAAAUAAACCAGCCAGCCAAACAAAGAAAAAUCCCACAAAGAAAGAAUGGACUCUCUCUCCAUCUUGGUAUACAAGCCAUCAACAUUUAGUGAAAUUCUUUCUUUCUUUAAAAAUUUAAAGUGCAGGAAAAUAGCAAUUUAUACGAGGUUGUUGGCCCAGGGCGUUAAAUUUACAGAUUUUUUUUAAAUGAGAAAAACACACAAAUAAAAGCUACCUCAGGUGUUUUUUACCUCAGCACCUUGCUCUUGUGUUUCCCUUAGAGAUUUUGUAAAACUGAUAGUUGGAGCAUUUUUUAUUUUUUUAAUAAAAAUGAGUUGAAAAAAAAAAAAGAUGAGCUGCCAGCCCCAAGCAGGCGGCAGCCCAGGUGUGCCGCAGCUCUUCUGUCUUCCGCUAGCCAAGAGCCUACGUGGCCUUCUUGUGGACAAACCUAAAAAUGUUUAUUUUUUAAAAAGUGACAAAGAAAAACAGAGAAUAUUGGAGCCGUCCUGAAUUUCAAUAGGGUACGUGCCGUGAGGGCUUUUGCGCUGAAGGAUGACCACAUCCUGGUUAUGUGAAGAAACCAUGACACUACCAGACUGCGAUGCCGGUUUCCUCUACUGCAAGCAGUGUUCUGUGACAAAAAAAAAAAAAAAAAAAAAAAAAAAAAAAAAAAAAGGAAAAAAAUAUAUCCAAGCU
rnacentral:lncRNA from 1 species